rnacentral:rRNA from 1 species
GAUGAACGCUAGCGGCAGGCUUAAUACAUGCAAGUCGAGGGGUAGCAAGAUUGUAGCAAUACAAUUGUUGACGACCGGCAAACGGGUGCGGAACACGUACACAACCUUCCUACAAGUGGGGAAUAGCCCAGAGAAAUUUGGAUUAAUACCCCGUAACAUAGCGAUGUGGCAUCACAUUGCUAUUAUAGCUUCGGCGCUUGUUGAUGGGUGUGCGGCUGAUUAGAUAGUUGGCGGGGUAACGGCCCACCAAGUCUACGAUCAGUAGCUGAUGUGAGAGCAUGACCAGCCACACGGGCACUGAGACACGGGCCCGACUCCCACGGGAGGCAGCAGUAAGGAAUAUUGGACAAUGGACGCAAGUCUGAUCCAGCCAUGCCGCGUGAAGGAUUAAGGUCCUCUGGAUUGUAAACUUCUUUUAUAAGGGACGAAAAAAGGUCUUUCUAGAUCGUCUGACGGUACCUUAUGAAUAAGCACCGGCUAACUCCGUGCCAGCCGCCGCCGUAACAC